UACGUAGGUGGCAAGCGUUGUCCGGAUUCACUGGGUGUAAAGGGUGCGCAGGCGGAUUUGUAAGUCAGAGGUGAAAUCUCACGGCUUAACCGUGAAACUGCCUUUGAUACUGCGGAUCUUGAGUUAGAGAGAGGUUGAUGGAAUUCCAGGUGUAGCGGUGAAAUGCGUAGAUAUCUGGAGGAACACCGGUGGCGAAGGCGGCAUCCUGGACCGGUAUUGACGCUGAGGCGCGAAAGCCAGGGGAGCAAACGGG
rnacentral:rRNA from 1 species